rnacentral:rRNA from 1 species
CCUUCGGGGCGCAGCAGUGAGGAAUAUUGGUCAAUGGGCGCGAGCCUGAACCAGCCAAGUAGCGUGAAGGAUGACUGCCCUACGGGUUGUAAACUUCUUUUAUAAAGGAAUAAAGUGAGGCACGUGUGCCUUUUUGUAUGUACUUUAUGAAUAAGGAUCGGCUAACUCCGUGCCAGCAGCCGCGGUAAUACGGAGGAUCCGAGCGUUAUCCGGAUUUAUUGGGCGUAAAGGGAACGCAGGCGGUCUUUUAAGUCUGAUGUGAAAGCCUUCGGCUUAACCGGAGUAGUGCAUUGGAAACUGGGAGACUUGAGUGCAGAAGAGGAGAGUGGAACUCCAUGUGUAGCGGUGAAAUGCGUAGAUAUUGCGCAGAACUCCGAUUGCGAAGGCAGCAUACCGGCGGCGAUCUGACGCUGAGGCACGAAAGCGUGGGUAUCGAACAGGAUUAGAUACCCGGGUAGUC